rnacentral:rRNA from 1 species
AUAUGGUAGGAGAGCGUUCUGUAAGCCUGCGAAGGUGUCUUGUAAAGGAUGCUGGAGGUAUCAGAAGUGCGAAUGCUGACAUGAGUAGCGAUAAUGGGGGUGAAAAGCCCCCACGCCGUAAGCCCAAGGUUUCCUGUUCAACGUUCAUCGGAGCAGGGUGAGUCGGCCCCUAAGGCGAGGCAGAGAUGCGUAGCUGAUGGGAAGCAGGUUAAUAUUCCUGCACCGUCGUAUGAUGCGAUGGGGGGACGGAUCGCGGAAGGUUGUCUGCCUGUUGGAAUAGGCAGUUUCUGCUUCAUAGAAGGCGCUUAGGCAAAUCCGGGCGCGUAAUUCAAGGGAGUGGGACGAGUGCACUUGUGCACGUAGCAAUCGGAAGUGGUUCCAAGAAAAGCCUCUAAGCUUCAGUCAUACGAGACCGUACCGCAAACCGACACAGGUGGGCGAGAUGAGUAUUCUAAGGCGCUUGAGAGAACUCGGGAGAAGGAACUCGGCAAAUUGGUACCGUAACUUCGGGAAAAGGUACGCCCUUGUAGCUUGGCUGAUUUACUUCAGUAGGGCGAACGGGUUGCAAUAAACUGGUGGCUGCGACUGUUUAAUAAAAACACAGCACUCUGCAAACACGAAAGUGGACGUAUAGGGUGUGACGCCUGCCCGGUGCUGGAAGAUUAAAUGAUGGGGUGCAAGCUCUUGAUUGAAGUCCCAGUAAACGGCGGCCGUAACUAUAACGGUCCUAAGGUAGCGAAAUUCCUUGUCGGGUAAGUUCCGACCUGCACGAAUGGCGUAACGAUGGCCACACUGUCUCCUCCCGAGACUCAGCGAAGUUGAAAUGUUUGUGAUGAUGCAAUCUACCCGCGGCUAGACGGAAAGACCCCAUGAACCUUUACUGUAGCUUUGCAUUGGACUUUGAACCAAUCUGUGUAGGAUAGGUGGGAGGCUUUGAAGCGGGAACGCCAGUU